UAUAUUUUAGUAUAUGAGGUACAAAAAUUUUUGAAAUUUUAAGAAAUAGUUAGAUUCUAUUAAAUAUAA
rnacentral:tRNA from 1 species